AUGGGCAUCAAGCUUGAUUACGCCUCAGUCUAUCACCCACAAACCAAAAGCCAAGUUGAGCGAGCAAAUGGUCUUAUAAUGAGCGGCAUUAAACCCAGAUUAGUGUGUUCCUUAAUGGAGUCUAACACGCACUGGGUAGAGGAGCUCGACUCCGUACUCUGGGGGCUGCGGACCACGCCAAAUCGUAGUACCGGAUAUACACCCUUCUUUAUGGUGUACGGCGCAGAGGCAGUCUUGCCCUGUGACAUAAUUCAUGACUCACCUCGGGUGCACAUGUACGAAGAAAGAGAAGCCGAGCUCGAUCGGCAGGACAGUAUGGACACCCUGGAGGAGGAGCGUGAUGUAGCAAAAGCCCAUUCCGCAUUUUAUCAGCAACAGGCUCGCAGGUACCAAAGCAGAGAAGUAGGGGCCAAAACUUAUAACAUUGGCGAACUAGUUCUACCCCUGCUGGAUAAGAAAAAGAACAAGCUCGAGCCCAAAUGGUAA
rnacentral:rRNA from 1 species